rnacentral:rRNA from 1 species
UACGUAGGGUGCAAGCGUUGUCCGGAAUUAUUGGUCGUAAAGAGCUCGUAGGCGGUCUGUCGCGUCGGCUGUGAAAACUCGGGGCUCAACUCCGAGCUUGCAGUCGAUACGGGCAGGCUAGAGUUCGGCAGGGGAGACUGGAAUUCCUGGUGUAGCGGUGAAAUGCGCAGAUAUCAGGAGGAACACCGGUGGCGAAGGCAGGUCACUGGGCCGCAACUGACGCUGAGGAGCGAAAGCAUGGGGAGCGAACAGG